GGGUUGUGAGGUUAAGCGACUAAGCGUACACGGUGGAUGCCUAGGCAGUCAGAGGCGAUGAAGGGCGUGCUAAUCUGCGAAAAGCGUCGGUAAGCUGAUAUGAAGCGUUAUAACCGACGAUACCCGAAUGGGGAAACCCAGUGCAAUACGUUGCACUAUCGUUAGAUGAAUACAUAGUCUAACGAGGCGAACCGGGGGAACUGAAACAUCUAAGUACCCCGAGGAAAAGAAAUCAACCGAGAUUCCCCCAGUAGCGGCGAGCGAACGGGGAGGAGCCCAGAGUCUGAAUCAGUUUGUGUGUUAGUGGAAGCGUCUGGAAAGUCGCACGGUACAGGGUGAUAGUCCCGUACACCAAAAUGCACAGGCUGUGAACUCGAUGAGUAGGGCGGGACACGUGACAUCCUGUCUGAAUAUGGGGGGACCAUCCUCCAAGGCUAAAUACUCCUGACUGACCGAUAGUGAACCAGUACCGUGAGGGAAAGGCGAAAAGAACCCCGGCGAGGGGAGUGAAAUAGAACCUGAAACCGUGUACGUACAAGCAGUGGGAGCACCUUCGUGGUGUGACUGCGUACCUUUUGUAUAAUGGGUCAGCGACUUAUAUUUUGUAGCAAGGUUAACCGAAUAGGGGAGCCGUAGGGAAACCGAGUCUUAACUGGGCGUCUAGUUGCAAGGUAUAGACCCGAAACCCGGUGAUCUAGCCAUGGGCAGGUUGAAGGUUGGGUAACACUAACUGGAGGACCGAACCGACUAAUGUUGAAAAAUUAGCGGAUGACUUGUGGCUGGGGGUGAAAGGCCAAUCAAACCGGGAGAUAGCUGGUUCUCCCCGAAAGCUAUUUAGGUAGCGCCUCGUGAACUCAUCUUCGGGGGUAGAGCACUGUUUCGGCUAGGGGGCCAUCCCGGCUUACCAAACCGAUGCAAACUCCGAAUACCGAAGAAUGUUAUCACGGGAGACACACGGCGGGUGCUAACGUCCGUCGUGAAGAGGGAAACAACCCAGACCGCCAGCUAAGGUCCCAAAGUCAUGGUUAAGUGGGAAACGAUGUGGGAAGGCACAGACAGCCAGGAUGUUGGCUUAGAAGCAGCCAUCAUUUAAAGAAAGCGUAAUAGCUCACUGGUCGAGUCGGCCUGCGCGGAAGAUGUAACGGGGCUAAACCAUGCACCGAAGCUGCGGCAGCGACACUUAGGUGUUGUUGGGUAGGGGAGCGUUCUGUAAGCCGUUGAAGGUGACCUGUGAGGGUUGCUGGAGGUAUCAGAAGUGCGAAUGCUGACAUAAGUAACGAUAAUGCGGGUGAAAAACCCGCACGCCGGAAGACCAAGGGUUCCUGUCCAACGUUAAUCGGGGCAGGGUGAGUCGACCCCUAAGGCGAGGCUGAAAAGCGUAGUCGAUGGGAAACAGGUUAAUAUUCCUGUACUUGGUGUUACUGCGAAGGGGGGACGGAGAAGGCUAGGCUGGCCGGGCGACGGUUGUCCCGGUUUAAGCGUGUAGGGGGAGUGACCAGGUAAAUCCGGUUGCUUAUCAACCCUGAGGCGUGAUGACGAUGCACCACGGUGCAGAAGCAGUUGAUGCCAUGCUUCCAGGAAAAGCCUCUAAGCAUCAGGUAACAUUAAAUCGUACCCCAAACCGACACAGGUGGUCAGGUAGAGAAUACUCAGGCGCUUGAGAGAACUCGGGUGAAGGAACUAGGCAAAAUGGUGCCGUAACUUCGGGAGAAGGCACGCUGGCGUUAGGUGAAAGGACUAGCUCCUGGAGCUGAAGCCAGUCGCAGAUACCAGCUGGCUGCAACUGUUUAAUAAAAACACAGCACUGUGCAAACACGAAAGUGGACGUAUACGGUGUGACGCCUGCCCGGUGCUGGAAGGUUAAUUGAUGGGGUCAGCCGCAAGGCGAAGCUCUUGAUCGAAGCCCCAGUAAACGGCGGCCGUAACUAUAACGGUCCUAAGGUAGCGAAAUUCCUUGUCGGGUAAGUUCCGACCUGCACGAAUGGCGUAAUGAUGGCCAGGCUGUCUCCACCCGAGACUCAGUGAAAUUGAACUCGCUGUGAAGAUGCAGUGUACCCGCGGCAAGACGGAAAGACCCCGUGAACCUUUACUAUAGCUUGACACUGAACAUUGAGCCUUGAUGUGUAGGAUAGGUGGGAGGCCUUGAAGUGUGGACGCCAGUCUGCAUGGAGCCAACCUUGAGAUACCACCCUUUAAUGUUUGAUGUUCUAACUCGGCCCCAUGAUCUGGGGUGAGGACAGUGUCUGGUGGGUAGUUUGACUGGGGCGGUCUCCUCCCAAAGAGUAACGGAGGAGCACGAAGGUUAGCUAAUCACGGUCGGACAUCGUGAGGUUAGUGCAAAGGCAUAAGCUAGCUUGACUGCGAGAGUGACGGCUCGAGCAGGUACGAAAGUAGGUCUUAGUGAUCCGGUGGUUCUGAAUGGAAGGGCCAUCGCUCAACGGAUAAAAGGUACUCCGGGGAUAACAGGCUGAUACCGCCCAAGAGUUCAUAUCGACGGCGGUGUUUGGCACCUCGAUGUCGGCUCAUCACAUCCUGGGGCUGAAGUAGGUCCCAAGGGUAUGGCUGUUCGCCAUUUAAAGUGGUACGCGAGCUGGGUUUAGAACGUCGUGAGACAGUUCGGUCCCUAUCUGCCGUGGGGCGUUGGAAGAUUGAGAGGGGCUGCUCCUAGUACGAGAGGACCGGAGUGGACGAAUCACUGGUGUUCGGGUUGUCAUGCCAAUGGCAUUGCCCGGUAGCUAAAUUCGGAAGAGAUAACCGCUGAAAGCAUCUAAGCGGGAAACUUGCCUCGAGAUGAGUCUUCCCUGGGGCUUAAAGCCCCCUGAAGGAACGUUAAAGACUAUGACGUUGAUAGGCUGGGUGUGUAAGUGCAGCGAUGUAUUGAGCUAACCAGUACUAAUGAUCCGUGAGGCUUAACCUUACAACACCGAAGGUGUUU
rnacentral:rRNA from 1 species